rnacentral:rRNA from 1 species
AGCUAGUGGUUAAUAGCCAUUAGCCUUGACGUUAACUUUAGAAGAAGCACCGGCUAACUCCGUGCCAGCAGCCGCGGUAAUACGGAGGGUGCAAGCGUUAAUCGGAAUUACUGGGCGUAAAGCGUGCGUAGGCGGUUUAUUAAGUCAGAUGUGAAAGCCCCGGGCUUAACCUGGGAACUGCAUUUGAAACUGGUCAACUAGAGUAUGGUAGAGGAAAGUGGAAUUUCUGGUGUAGCGGUGAAAUGCGUAGAUAUCAGAAGGAACAUCAAUGGCGAAGACAACUCUCUGGACCAAUACUGACGCUGAGGUACGAAAGCGAGGGUAGCAAACAGGAUUAGAUACCCUGGUAGUCCACGCCGUAAACGAUGAUAACUAGCCGUUGGGGGGAUUUACCCCUUAGUGGCGAAGCUAACGCGUUAA